rnacentral:lncRNA from 1 species
GCUUUAGUUUAAACCCUAAAUUCCUUUUACUUUGAACAUCAGCACACCACAAACCCCCCUGCCCCCUUCUCUCUCGAUCAGCCUAGCUUAUCUCCGGCGACAUGCCCGCCGGUGCCGGCCGCUCUCCGACAACCACGCCCCACACUGCGUCUCCUUCUGCCGACGACACUCACCCACACAAACAAACCAUCACCUCUUGAGUCCUUCUUCAUCUUCAGGUUCAGUUCAGUCAAGAUGAAGUUGAAUAGAUCUGGAAAUUGAUGUUCAUACAAAUCUGCAUACGUUUGGUACGAAUCUGGAUGUGUUGUUGUUGAUUCGUACGAAUCAAGGCUGGGUUCCUUGAAUUUCUACAAAUAAUAUGUCAGUCUAAAUCUCAUUACAAAUAAAAAAAAUGUUUUUAUGUAGGAACACUAAAUUUGUCAACUACCGAAAAUAUAUAGUCCUGUGGUUGUUUGCCAACAUGUUUUGAGGGCAUCAAGUAUGGUUGAUGCAAGUUUAUUGUAAUCGUACUUUUUAUCAAUCUACAAUUAUAUUCAACUUGUUUAUUUGGU